rnacentral:rRNA from 1 species
UACGUAGGGUGCGAGCGUUGUCCGGAAUUAUUGGGCGUAAAGGGCUCGUAGGCGGUUUGUCGCGUCGGGAGUGAAAACGCCGUGCUUAACACGGCGCUUGCUUUCGAUACGGGCAGACUAGAGGUAUGCAGGGGAGAACGGAAUUCCUGGUGUAGCGGUGAAAUGCGUAGAUAUCAAGAGGAACACCUGAGGUGAAGACGGGUUGCUGGGCUGACACUGACGCUGAGGCGCGAAAGCCAGGGGAGCAAACGGG